GUACUUGCUUCAGUAGCACAUACACUAAAAUUGGAGCCACACAGAGAAGAUUAGCAUGGCCCCCUAACAAGGAUGAUGUGCAAACUCUGGGAACAUUCCACUUUUUC
ensembl:snRNA U6 U6 spliceosomal RNA